UCUAAUGAGAGCAAUUAGUUUGUGCCUGUUGCUAUGCAUCGUCUUGGUAUUUACUGUUACAAAUGAGCAACUCAUCUAUGACCAUACCCAAAGGGGGCAGAAAAGGUGAUGUACAAAGUGCAUAUAGCACCCUACACUAUUGAGUAAUUACAAGAGGUGUAUAUACAUCUAACACCCCUCCCCUCAAACUCACGGUGGGUCAACGACACUGAGUUUGGAAACAAAAAAGCUAUGUUGCACCCUAGUUUGAGCCUUUGUUAAGAAAUCAGCCAACUGAAACUCUGAGGGCACAUAGUAAAGAGCCACCACCUCAUCAUGUACUUGCGAUCGCAUUUAGGAAGCAUCAACAGGAUAACGAGCAAUAUUGAUCGCACCAGGGCUGUCAAAGGAUAGAGGAGUCGGUGAGGAAGUCAUCACACCGAAAUCCUCAAGUAGCCACUUGAGCCAUGUGACCUCAGCCGUCAUGGUCGCCAUAGCCCACAACUCAGCCUCACCACUGGACUGGGAAACUGCCGUCUGCUUCUUGGUUUUCCAGGCAAUCAAGGAGGACCCAAGAAAAACACAAUAAGCCAAAAGGGUACGACGAUCAGAGUGAUCACUAGCCCAUGUCGCAUCAGAGUACGCCUGAAGUUGAAGGGAACUAGAGCGAGGAAAGAACAAGCGGCAUGAGAUGGUGCCACGAAGGUAUCGAAGAACACAAGAAGGUGAGCGUAGUGGAACUGUGUGGGAGCAAAACGAACUAACUCAGGAUAUGAAUAUCAUGAGAAAUGUUAGGACGAGUAAUCUCAAGGUAACAAGGCUCCCAACAAGGUGACGAUAGCGAGUGUGAUCAUCAAGGGGAGCACCAUUAGUAGACCGCAAUGGGAGCGGCACGAGAGAGAAGAUCAUGAAUGUACUUCUCCUAGGAGAGGUAAAUGCAAUCAGGCAUGGAAGAGACCUCGAGAUCAAGGAAGUAACAAAGAGGAUUCAAAUCAAAUAUCAAGAAUUUGUCACUAAGAUGCUUCUUCACAAAGUCAAUGAAUUGAUAAUCGUCACUAGUAAUGAUCAUAUCAUUGACAUAGAGAAGCAUGCGACAACGAGGGGAAGUGUGGACAAAGAGAGCAGGGUUGUGGUCAUUGGGCUUAAAAUCAGCAUCAAUGACAGCAGUGGAGAAGCGCUCAAACCAGGCUUAAGGAGCCUGCUUGAGGCUGUAGAAAGAGCGACGCACCGGCAAACCAUUCCAUUCGGGAUAGUGUAUCCCAGAGAUGGAUGCAUGUAGACCUCUUCACGUAGCUCACCAUUGAGAAAUACAUUCUUGACAUCAAGCUGGGAGAUGGACCAUUGUUUGACAGAAGCAACGAGAGGAGUCCGGACUGUGGUCAUAUGAGCAACGAGAGCAAAGGUCUCAUCAUAAUCACGACCUUGCUCCUGCUGAAAACCACGAGCCACAUGACGAGCCUUGUAGCGCUCAAGGGAGCCAUCAGAGCGAGUCUUGAUCUUGUAUACCCAUUUGCAAGUAAUAGGAGUCAGCUGAGGAGGCAAAGGUACAAGGUCCCAUGUGCUGGUGUGCUCCACGGCAGCUAUCUCCUUAGCCAUGGUGCUCUGCCAAUUCGGGUGGACAGCAUCCUCUUCGUAAGUGGCUAGAUCAAGCGAUCCGAAGGAUGGAGAGUACUACGAUCACGAAGAGCAUAUCGAGAAGACGGCUCUGGAGGAAGUCCAAGGAGCGAUGAAGAAGACUCAAGUGGAGGGGGAGGCCUCGGACGACAAGUGUAGACGUGAGUGAUCUCACAAGGUGGUACCUCCACUGGUGUAGGCCUAAGGAGCGACGAAGAGGACUCAGUGAAGAGGGAGGCCUUGGAUGACGAGUGUAGACAUGAGUGAUCGAACAAGAGGACACCUGUGAGGCGGAGGUGAAGGAGCUAAGGAGCAGCGGUGGGUGAAGAUGAUGAGGUGGAGGUAGGUGGAGCUGAUGGUGGAAGAAUAGAGGAUAUAUAUGGCGAAGAUGAGGUAUGUAAGCGAGACAGCGGAAGAGACAAGAAAGAGAGACUCACCAGUAGUGGUAUUAGGGCCAGAGUGGGAGCGAUGAUAAGGACAAGACUCAUCGAAGGUGACAUCCUGAGAUAUCCUCAUCCGAUGGGCAACAGGGUCGUAGCAGCGAUAACCCUUGCGCUCCGUACUGUACCCAAGAAAAAACAUACUCAACUGACUGAGCAAUUAGCUUGGUGCGCUCAAGAGGAGGGAGAAGAACAAAGCAGGCACACCCAAAACAACGAAGAUGACUGUAGUUGGGUGGAUGGCCAAACAAGUGCUCAUACGGGGUACAACCCUAAAAAACCGAGGAAGGCUGUCUAUUGAUGAGAAAAACAGCAGACAGUCUCAACCCAAAAGUGAGGUGGAAGCUCAGAGCAAAGUAGUAAAGCACAAGAAGUCUCAAGAAUGUGACGAUGCUUGCGCUCGGCAGCACCAUUCUGAGCAUGGGCACCAGAACAAGAAAAUUGAGGAAGGGUACCCUGGUCAGCAAGGAAGCAACAAUGCGCAGUGGAAAUGUAUUCACUAGCAGAAUUGGCACAAAAAGCACGAAUGGGAGAAUCAAACUAAGUGCAAAUCAUAAUGGCAAAUUGCAGGUAGAUAGAUAUAAAGUGGCCACGUGAGGACAUAAGAUAGAUCCAGGUAAAGCAUGAAUAAUCAUCGAUAAAAUUGACAUAAUCGGAGUGAUUGCCUUUCGAGAAAAAAGGAACAGGCCCCCCAUAUAUCAAAGUGAAUGAGAUCAAAAGGAUAUUGCGAUACAGAAUCACUAGAUGUAUAAGGGAGUUGCAACUGUUUACCAAGUUUGCAACCCAUAGAGUGAAGUGCAGCAUCACCAGACACAUCACCAGACACAUGACUUAAAAGUUAAAACACCAUUGCCCACAAGAAUGAAAAGCCUUGAACCUGAGAGAUGGCCAAGGCGAUGACGCCAUUGAGAAAAGGUUGGUGAAGCAGUAACCACAAGGGCAGGUGAGCUGGAUGAGGGACUUGCCACAGUGAACGAGGGACGGCGAAGCUAGUCAAGCUCCCAAAGACGCUGAGAACCAUGACGCCUAGGCCUAGUUCCUAUUAAAAGCCCCAUGCAAGGAUCCUGAACACAACAAGAGUCCAACUCAAGAAUGAUGCGACAUCCAUAAUUAGUGAUCUGUCUAGCAGACAUCAGCUGCAUAGUGAGGUUAGGGACAUGCAAAACUGUAGGCACAUGAAAGGAAGACGUCGAGAGAACACCUCGUCCAGCAACUGAAAUAGAGGUGCCAUGAGCCGUCUGAACAACAAGAGGGUGAUCAACAGAGGACAAGGAAGAUAGCUGGGUAGAAUCUGCCUUGAUAAGGAGGCAGUGGUGGUGUACGGUGUACCAGAAGCACGAGCAGUAGUUCCAGAAAAGAAGGAAGUAGCAGCAUUGAGGCGAUGGAAUGGUGUGAGCAACGCCUGCUCUAAGGUAGAGCCACAUACAGUGGUAGAAGAGGCCAGGCUCUCUUCUUGACCCUCUCUCCUCUUUUUUCUUGGGCUGCCCCUUGGGAGGGAGGCAGAGGGCAGGCAGACAAGGAAAUGCAGAGCAGAGAGCGGAUCAGAGAAGAGAAGAGCAUACAUAGAGGCAAAGCACAUGCAAGAAUCAAUUAAUGCCAAAUGUGGGUAAUAAAUAGGGGCAAACAUGGUCAUUUUAUCUUCUUAAUUUGUCAUAGAAUUUCUAGGAUAAGUUGUUUUUUUUGCGACGGAGGAGCAGUAGUUCCAGAAAAGGAGGAAGUAGCGGCAUUGAGGCGACGAACAGCGUGAGCAACUCCUGCUCUAAGGCAAAGGCACAUAUAGUGGUAGAAGAGGCCAAGCUCUCUUCCUGACCUCUCUCCUCUCUCUCUCUCUCUCUCUCUCUCUCUCUCUCUUUUCUUUUAAAUUUUUUGCUUAGGCUGCCCCUCGGGAGGGAGGCAGAGGGUAGGGAGGGAGGCAGAGGUCAGGCAGACAAGGAAAUGCAAAGCGCAGAGAAGAGCACACACAGAGGCAAUGCAGAGCAGAGAGUGGAGUGGAGAAGAGGCAAUGCAGAGUAGAGCGGAGCGGAGCAGGACACGGUGGCCGCCGCCACUGGGGCUAGGCAUGGCGGCGCCGGGCCAGGCGUGGGAGGCGGAGGGCCGCGCGGGCGUGGGAGGGUGCAGGCUGCACAUGAGAAGGGAAGGGGGGAGGAAAAAGGAAGAGGGUGGAGCUGCCUUCGCCGGCCGGCGGUGCAGGCUCACCUUUGACUCGCCGGCGCCUCACCGGAGACGGUGGGAUUCUAAACCCUAGGCUGUGAUACCAAAGGGGUCAGAAAAGGCGAUGUACAAAGUGCAGAUAGCACCGUACACUAGUGAGUAAUAACAAGAGGUGUUUAUGCAUCUAACAUUUACACCAUGUGCUAAGUCAAUUAGUUUCUGCUUAAAUCUUGAGGUAAAAACACUUGCAAAACUAUAGCAUAACUGUUAUGGUAGGACAAGUGUAUGAAAGGUGCCGUCGUGGCUGAAGAGAAGACAGGGCACGCGCCCACUACGUCGUAGCAGUUUACUCUAUGUUUGAAUUUGUAUUUCCCAAGUCAGUUGUAAUCAAACCUAUAACUAUUGUAUCCAGUGGCUAAUGGAAGUUAUGCUAGAGAUCAAUUAGAUCUCUUGGCGUCCCGCACGUC